ANUUUUNACAAUGGGCGAAAGCCUGNUGGAGCGACGCCGCGUGGGGGAUGAAUGGCUUCGGCCCGUAAACCCCUGUCAUUUGCGAUCAACCCUUACGACCUAACACGUCGUGAGCUGAUGGUAGCGAAAGAGGAAGGGACGGCUAACUCUGUGCCAGCAGCCGCGGUAAUACAGAGGUCCCAAGCGUUGUUCGGACUCACUGGGCGUAAAGGGUGCGUAGGCGGCCGGGUAAGUCUGACGUGAAAUCUCCAAGCUCAACUUGGAAAUGGCGUCGGAUACUAUUCGGCUCGAGGAAUGGAGGGGAGACUGGAAUACUUGGUGUAGCAGUGAAAUGCGUAGAUAUCAAGUGGAACACCAGUGGCGAAGGCGAGUCUCUGGACAUUUCCUGACGCUGAGGCACGAAAGCCAGGGGAGCAAACGGGAUUAGAUACCCCGGUAGUCCUGGCCCUAAACGGUGCACGUUUGCUGUAAGAGGAUUCGACCCCUUUUGUGGCGAAGCUAACGCGUUAAACGUGCCGCCUGGGAAGUACGGCCGCAAGGUUAAAACUCAAAAGAAUUGACGGA
rnacentral:rRNA from 1 species